rnacentral:rRNA from 1 species
AUCAGGUAGGACUACCCGCUGAACUUAAGCAUAUCUAAAA